AGCCCACAGGGCUAUACCAAAUAAAUGAACUAACUAACUUGUUCUCUAAUUCAUUACUCGUCCUUUGAAUUAAUUUUCUGUUCUUCGUAGGCCGGGAGUCGUCGUGCCAGUCGACCACGUGGGGGACAUUAUGGACAAAGUGGACCCUUUUCCAGGCCAGAGUCACAAGCAUCACUCCCCAAAGAUUGCUACUGCACAAGACCUAAAGCCAGACAUCGACGGACUGACCUCAGGAAAAUGGUGUCAGCUAUCCAACCAGGAAACAAAUACAAAUUGAUCAAUGGAUGUGGAAGGUGUUUGAUAUGGUGUCUCAAGGCGAGUUGCUGAAAGCUGCUGAGAUGAAGACACUAGCAUUCUUGUGCAUAUUCGAGACAAAGAAUGUGCGUCUCUGGAGGUGCGAUACCACAAGUCCUGUUAUAGACAGUACACCAGGUUCUUGACAAAGUCUAGUGCAUCAGUUACUGUGACCUCAGAAGAACAAAAUGAGCCAACCUUCGAUGCCAGCUACAAGAUCUUCUGUGAGAGGAUCAUCCGCCAUAGAACAAUGACUCGGCUAAGAAGGAUCUUUUAAAUCUGGUGAAAAAACCAUGAAGAUCUUGAAGCGUCAAACUACAGGCAGGAUAAAUUGAAGAGGUUGGCCCGUGAUUUCCCCCCAGCUGAUGUUUCACUCCCCCCAAGAAGCGCAACAUAAGUGAGAUGGUUUUCGUUGAGACAUUGUCUGCAGAUAAGCUGAUAGGCUACCUCAUCCAUCAGGUACAGAAACAACAGUCAACUGAGGUAACUAGCGAAAGUGACUGUGAAAACAGGGCUAGUGCAAAAAGCUGGUCCAAUGGCCUCCAUCAAUACUGCAGAGGACACGAGGACACAUUAAUAUUAAAGAUGUUUCUGUGUGACUCUCCCGGUAUGAAAUGCCCGUGGCCACCCACAUCAGAUGACCUAAAUGUGAGCGAGGCAAAAUCUGUCGUUCCAAUUGAACUGUACAAUCUGAUUUCCUGGAUUAUUGGUGCAACUGAGGAACCAACACUGGCCUAUUAUGUUGAUAUUCCAGAUGACUUGAACCUAAAAGUGAUAUCUAUCUGUCAAGACAUUGUGUAUCUUGCAUCUAAGGGUCGGAGGCAGACCCCUAAAUCAUUGUCUUGGUCUAACGGUUCGCCAUUUAACAGGUUCAUCACAAAUUGCGUCACUUCUAAAUAGACUAGGACAUUGUGCAUCAUGGGACACAGUUGUCAGUCUAGACACUAGCCUUGCCCAACUUCAACUGGUAGAGGGCAGAAACAAAAUACCAAAGGGAUUCUCAAAGAAGGUUCCUAUGGUACUUGUGUGGGACAAUAUUGACUUUGGGGAGGAGACACUGUCAGGUCGUGGAACUACCCACCAAAGAAAUGGGAUUAUGCUGCAAAGUUCUGUAGUUGAACCUGUGUCAACAGACAACCACUACAGAAGGAAGUUUCCUCAUUGAAAGUACCCCCUAGCAUCCCUGUCGAACAGUACCAUCAUUCUAAAAGACAAAGACCACAGCACUUGUUUAAUCAGGAAAGUGUUCCAUUACAGGCGGACACAUACAAAUUGAACACGGUGUCUGCUGUACAAACUGAACUGGCAUAUGUUUUUGUAAAGUCCAUAGAUGCUGAAAGAUGCACAAUACCAAGCUGGACAGGUUUCCAUACAUUACUUCAAGGUGAUGGCACUCUGCAAAAGUCAGCACUGUAUUAUCUUCCAGUCAUUGAGGCUUCACCGACAUAAAUGUCAACAGUAAACACAAUUCUGAAGCGAAGUGUCCAAAUUGCUAAUUAGCUAGAACUGGACCAUAUAGUGUUAGUUUUUGACCAAGCUAUAUAUGCUAAAGCACAGCAAAUCCGCUGGAAAGAUGACUUUACUCAGCGUAUAGUGAUUAGACUAGGUGAAUUUCACACCUGCAUGUCCUACCUGAGCAUUCUAGGAAAAAGGUUUGGAGAUGCACGACUGCAAGACAUACUCAUUGAGUCCGAAGUUGUUGCCCCAGGAUCCAUCAAUGGAGUGAUCAGUGGUCAUCAUUACAAGCGCAGCAUGAGGGCACACAAACUUCUGUACGAGAGUCUGUAACACAUCAGACUUCUCACCUUCUUAGAUUCUCUGCCACCAGAGGAGAUAUGAGUGUCUGGAUGUCAUCAAUGAGAUCAAAUGUGCAUUCCUGGACAGAACAAUGGAUGUUUUGUGUGCAAAUGAGAAAUUUGACAAAAUGUGUUCGAAAUAUGAAGACUUUGUUAAAAGAGGAAGUGCAUAAAACCCAACGUUUGCCUUCUGGAGUUCAUACAUCGACAUGGUACAGAUACUCCUUCAAUUUGUGAAAGCAACACCAGAAUCUGAUUGGCAGCUUCACCUGUCAACAGUGCACUUGAUGAUGGCAUGGUUUUUUGCGUACAGUCGUGUAAAUUAUGCUAGGUAUUUACCUUCAUACUGGCUGGAAAUGGUCAAUUUGCCCCUCACACAUCCUUCUUGCCAUAGUGAGCUCAGUGUUAAAGUCCAGUGGACUGUCCAACGUCAAAGUGUCCAUGGAUUUGCCUCGAUUGCUUGUGACCAGGCCAUUGAGCAAACAUGCAACAGAGAUUCCAAGACAAAGGGUGGUUGGACAGGCAGGGUUAACACAGAAUCGGGCUGCAGUAUAUCACUGGAUAUUGUCGCAACAUGAAAGGGCUGCCAUAGCAAGACAAUGUGAGGCAAUGGCAGGUAAAUCUCCCAAUAUAAGGAAACGAAAAGACCUUGACAGCACACGAAUUCAUGCUGAUGAAAGGGCUGUGACCAGAAUAAUUUCCACCAUAGAUUCCAUACUAAAUCCUUUUGACACACACCAAGAUGGCAUUGUGUGUCUUAGCUCUAGGACAGUAGCAGCUGAAGAAAUCAUGAGGGAUUUUCUCCAGAAAAGGGGGAAAAUGCUGUCAAAGAGUUUAUGGACCAAAGACUGUUAUCACCAUCAGUUGACAUAUUAGCUCCCAUCGAAAGGUGGAGACUGUUUAGUUGACAAAGUUCCGACAGAUGGAGCUAUUCUCUUUAAUGGCAUGGCAGUCAUUCAAGCCAUUCUAUCAAUACCAAGUACCUUUGGAGAGCUUGCAGAGACCAUACUGCAGUACAUAGUCAAGCUUGCUCUGAAACACAACUGUACACGGAUAGACUUUGUGAUUGACCAGUAUCCGAAAAUGAGUAUUAAAAACCUAGAACGGUCACGUAGAGCUGGUGGUGGUACACAACUGGUGAAAAUUUAUGGACGGGAUCAGAAGACACCAACACAAUGGAAAAAGUUUCUAUCAGAUGGAACAAACAAAGAAGCACUGGCAGAAUGCCUCUAUGUUGUGUGGCGAGAGGCUGAUCUUACCACUGUGGGCAAGGACUUAAGCUUGUACAUAGCACAUGGAGACCUGUGUCACUGCGUGGCUGUAAUCGAGGGUUUACAAACUCUCAGUGCUGUUGAAGAUCUGACAUGUGAUCAUGAGGAAUGUGACACCAGGGUGUUUUAACAUGCACAACAUGCUGCACAGGAACAUCAAACUGUAGUCAUCAAGAGCCCUGAUACUGAUGUGGCAGUGAUUGCUUUAAGUCUGCAGCCAGAUUUACCAUGUAGGUUGUAUUUUUUCACGGGGGUUGGCAACAAAACAAGGCUCAUUGACUUAGCUAAGGUGUCAUCAGCUCUUGGCACAAGUGUCUGUUUGGCACUUAUUGGGAUCCAUACCUUCUCAGUUUGUUUCUCUACAAGUGCCUUUUAUGGCAAAGGCAAAAGAAAGGCAUUUUCUGUUGCUUGUGAGAAAGAGCAAUAUCUGACUGCUUUUACAAAUCUGGGUAGCAGUUUUAACCUAGACCAGUCUACCUUUGAGCUACUUUGCACACAUGUGUGCCACCUGUAUGGCCAGUCAUCUGCCGAAAAUGUGAACGAUGCAAGAUACAAAGCAUUCUGUAUGGCAUCAUCAGCUUUGCCAGAACUAUCCAUGCCCCCGACAAGUGACGCCCUGUACCAACACUGCAAAAGGGCAACCUACCAAGCAGCCAUAAUGAGCCAUUCUCUGAAAGGUAUAAUGUGUGCCCCUUCACCCGUUGGCAAUGGGUGGCACCUCGAGGAUGAUGAGUUAACAGUGACCUGGAUGACUAGAAAUCCUGCCCCUGAAAGUGUGUUGCAGGCAGUCCACUGCAGUUGCAAGCAUAGCAAAUGUGAGACUGGAAGAUGUUCCUGUAUGUCUGCAAGACUGUCUUGUACUGAUUUAUGUCGGUGCCAAAAUUGUGCAAAUGUUUCACAGGAAACAGAAGACCUACAUGGGAUGAUGGCUCUGAUAGUGAUAGGGAUGAUACCGAUGAGUAAAUAUGCGCUGUGUUAUAAUUUAAGGUGAUUUUGAGCUGUAAAGAAUCUGUUGUAGAAUUGUAAUUUUUUUGGCAGCAUUCAAAAAUAAGGGGACAGCAUUUCGAGUCAUUUCAGCCAACUUGGGCCAAAGUGUGCUUAUAUUUGUAUCUUUCUGUGAUUACACAGUACCUACUGAAAAUUUGGAUGUAUAAAACAUCACAGUUUUGCUAAAUUUAUAAUGUUUAUGUUUAAUUUUGCUUAGUGCCAAUCCGUAAAGUUGAAGCAUAUUUUACACAAAUGUGCCAUAUUUCAUGGUCUACAUUCACACUUAAGUAUAUAAUUCACCAAAACCUGUCUCAAGUGUUUAGGUACAUGUAUAAAUGUGAGUUUGAGAGAUAUUUUGUGUUGCUAAAAUGUAUAUAAAUAAAGUUACAAACAAAACCAGCAGCAUAAGAUUUUCGUUUUUUCCAAUUCACAAUUAUAUACAUUUAUGGAUUGUGACAAAAAAACUGCAGGGUAUUUUUCGGAUAACUUUUAACAGUCGAUAAUGGGUUUGUCUAUGAAAAAAUUCAUUUAAAAAGUAGUGCCCAGGUGUGGGAACGAAAAUCAUUUUCCAGCCACUUUUUCCUAGUUCACCUUAUGCCUAAUUGCUAAAUUUGAAUCACAGUUCCUAUGAUCACUGUUACAUUAUUUUUUAUAGCUUUAUUUUGGUGAUUUUGAAAA